ACUCAAAUGAAUUGACGGGGGCCCGCACAAGCAGUGGAGUAUGUGGUUUAAUUCGAAGCAACGCGAAGAACCUUACCAGGUCUUGACAUCCGACUAACGAAGCAGAAAUGCAUUAGGUGCCUUUCGGGGAAAGUCGAGACAGGUGGUGCAUGGUUGUCGUCAGCUCGUGUCGUGAGAUGUUGGGUUAAGUCCCGCAACGAGCGCAACCCUUGUUUUUAGUUGCUACGCAAGAGCACUCUAAAGAGACUGCCGUUGACAAAACGGAGGAAGGUAGGGACGACGUCAAAUCAUCAUGCCCCUUAUGACCUGGGCUACACACGUACUACAAUGGCCGCCAACAGAGGGAAGCGAAAUCGCGAGGUGGAGCAAAUCCCUAAAAGCGGUCUCAGUUCGGAUUGCAGGCUGCAACCCGCCUGCAUGAAGACGGAAUUGCUAGUAAUCGCGGAUCAGCAUGCCGCGGUGAAUACGUUCCCGGGCCUUGUACACACCGCCCGU
rnacentral:rRNA from 1 species